AUGCUCUGGGCUACACGCGCGCUACAAAGGCCAGGACAAUGGGUCUGCCACUUCGAGAGAAGGCGCUAUCCCGAAACCUGGUCGUAGUUCGGAUCGUGGGCUGUAAUUCGCCCACGUGAAGCUGGAUUUCGUAGUAAUCGCGUCUCAAAAUGGCGCGGUGAAUAUGCCCCUGCUCCUUGCACACACCGCCCGUCAAACCAUCUUAGUUUGGGGUGGGUGAGGCUGCCUUUUAAUGGGGUAUUCGAGCCUGCCUUAGACAAGGAGGGUUAAGUCGUAACAAGGUAUCUGUAGGGGAACCUGCAGAUGGAUCACCUCCU
rnacentral:rRNA from 1 species